rnacentral:rRNA from 1 species
GUAGGUGGCAAGCGUUGUUCGGGAAUUAUUGGGGCGUAAAGCGCGCGCAGGCGGUUCUUUAAGUCUGAUGUGAAAGCCCACGGGCUCAACCGUGGAGGGUCAUUGGAAACUGGAGAACUUGAGUACAGAAGAGGAAAGCGGAAUUCCACGUGUAGCGGUGAAAUGCGUAGAGAUGUGGAGGAACACCAGUGGCGAAGGCGGCUUUCUGGUCUGCAACUGACGCUGAGGCGCGAAAGCGUGGGGAGCAAACAGGAUUAGAUACCCUGGUAGUCCACGCCGUAAACGAUGAGUGCUAAGUGUUAGGGGGUUUCCGCCCCUUAGUGCUGCAGCUAACGCAUUAAGCACUCCGCCUGGGGAGUACGGCCGCAAGGCUG